ACACUGUUCCUUCUGGAAAGCUCUUAUUAAAUCCCUAAUCUUCACUCAGCAUUGGUUAAAUACUCCUCUUAAGUAACAGGCUCUGCUUAUAUGCUAUCAAAAUGGUUUCACUUUCUCUUCUAGACUCUUGAGGUUCCAGAGAACAAAGGCCUCAGCCAUGUGUCUCCUUGACUCCCCAUCACCUUUCCCAGAUCCAUAUGGUAGCACUCAGAAAAAGUUUUUUGAAUUAAUAGGUGAAUGAACGGAUUCUUUUACUCGUGUGGCCUUCUCUCUUUGAUUUCCUCUCGCCAGGCUCCACUUACAUUCUGCUUGUAAGAAUCAAGCACGGAAUGUGGAAACCAAUGGAUAUCAGGCAGGUGAGACCACUCCUUCACCCUAGAGUAGACAUCAUAGCCUCGUGGCAAUCUGCUAAAAUAAUCAUAUUGACAGUGACACCUGGGUGGGAAAGUUUCUUCCAUCAUAGGAGCUUUAGACAAGCUUUCCCUUGAGCAAGGGCAUGAGAACAGAACAGACAAGCUGCUGGAGCCUGUGCAGACUUCCCUGAAGGAAGUCUGACAAGCUGGAGUGUAGGUAAGGGUCCACCGCGUGACUCUGCCUGUAGGGGUUUAAAUAAGAACCUGGGAGGACUGUGCAUUUCUAAAUGAUUGGGUGAGAGCGGCUGAGAGAUGCUUUGAAAAGGAAGAGGAACACUUCUCUAGCUGUCCUCUGGGCCAUGGCCUCCAAACCACCUUGUAGGUCUUGGAUUAAAGAAUCCUGUCAGAUACCCAUUAUCCAUGAACACCAUGACUGAGCUGGCCACCAGAGUAGAGCUCUCCCGUACGAGGUCUACACCUUUGCAGAAAAAUGUGUGUCAUUCAGAUUUUUUGCCUGAGUUGGGCAGUCACAAAAGAGAAUUACAAAGAGCUGGACCCACCCGGCACUUGGCUUUAGCGCUGUUUACAACACAACGAGAAGUGAAGCGUUGAGAGACAAUUUUCUGAAUAAUUCGAGAGUUGCGCGUUGGCAUACAUUCUGCCUGGGAAUUCUAGAAGGGAUUUAAAAAAAAAAGAAAUUAAAGGGUAACAUUGAUCCAGUGUCAAAGCCAUACGUAUGCAUGGCGCCAUGGUGAAUGCUCAGAUGUAUUAAUGCUAGAAAAUAGGAUUCAAAGCAGUUUGAGAAAGUAUUUGAGAUGUGAGUAACAUCUACAACAGAGGGAAACACCAAAAUAUGAGUGGGCCUCAUCCAGUCCAUCGAAGGCAAGAGAGCAAAAACAAGUUUCUCAGACAAGAAGGAAUUCUACUUCAAAUCCCACCUGCGUUUCUAGCCUGCCAGCCUGCCCUACCAAUUUCAGACUUGCCACCC